rnacentral:snRNA from 1 species
AGAUGUGAGGGCAAUCUGGCUGCAACAUCUGUCACCCCAUUAAUCAUCAGGGUUGAUUUGGCUGAUCUGCCUGGCUAAGCGGGUGUCCCAUUCCUCCCUCACUGCUCCAUGUGCGUCCCUCCUGAAGCUCUAUGUUCAGUUGAAGAGGAUGACCAUCCCUGAUAGAGGAGGAUUGUUCAUUGGUCAAGGGUAUACCAGUAGCUGCGCUCCCCUGCUAGAACCUCUAAACAAGUUCUCAAGGUCCAUUUCCCUAAUACCUUAAAGAAGGCAGGCAAAGACCACAGGUUGACUGAGAAUAGGAGGGCAGAUGGAGGAAGAACCUAAGCUUUCUUU